AACGAACGCUGGCGGCAGGCCUAACACAUGCAAGUCGAGCGAGGACUUCGGUCCUAGCGGCGGACGGGUGAGUAACGCGUGGGAACGUGCCCCUUGGUACGGAAUAGCCCCGGGAAACUGGGAGUAAUACCGUAUGAGCUCUACGGAGGAAAGAUUUAUCGCCAAGGGAUCGGCCCGCGUUGGAUUAGGUAGUUGGUGGGGUACUGGCCUACCAAUCCGACGAUCCAUAGCUGGUUUGAGAGGAUGAUCAGCCACACUGGGACUGAGACACGACCCAUACUUCUACGGGAGGAAGCAGUAGGGAAUCGAAGACAAUGGGCGCAAGCCUGAUCUAGCCAUGACGCGUGAGCGAUGAGGGCCGUAGGGUUGUAAGGCACAUUCAGCUGGGAAGAUAAUUACAGUACCAGCAGAAGAAGCCCCGGCUAACUCCGUGCCAGCAGCCGCCGUAACAC
rnacentral:rRNA from 1 species